rnacentral:rRNA from 1 species
AACGAACGCUGGCGGCAUGCCUAACACAUGCAAGUCGAACGAGCCCUUCGGGGCUAGUGGCGCACGGGUGCGUAACGCGUGGGAAUCUGCCCUCAGGUACGGAAUAACUCAGGGAAACUUGAGCUAAUACCGUAUGAUGUCUUCGGACCAAAGAUUUAUCGCCUGGGGAUGAGCCCGCGUCGGAUUAGCUAGUUGGUGGGGUAAAGGCCCACCAAGGCGACGAUCCGUAGCUGGUCUGAGAGGAUGAUCAGCCACACUGGGACUGAGACACGGCCCAGACUCCUACGGGAGGCAGCAGUGGGGAAUAUUGGACAAUGGGCGAAAGCCUGAUCCAGCAAUGCCGCGUGAGUGAAGAAGGCCUUCGGGUUGUAAAGCACUUUUACCCGGGAAGAUAAUGACUGUACCGGGAGAAUAAGCCCCGGCUAACUCCGUGCCAGCCGCCGCGGUAAAAC